rnacentral:rRNA from 1 species
UACGUAGGGAGCAAGCGUUAUCCGGAAUUAUUGGGUGUAAAGGGUGCGUAGACGGGAAAUUAAGUUAGUUGUGAAAUCCCUCGGCUCAACUGAGGAACUGCAACUAAAACUGAUUUUCUUGAGUGCAGGAGAGGAAAGUGGAAUUCCUAGUGUAGCGGUGAAAUGCGUAGAUAUUAGGAGGAACACCAGUGGCGAAGGCGGCUUCCUGGUCUGCAACUGACACUGAGGCGCGAAAGCGUGGGGAGCAAACAGG